AUUCUUAAUGAUCAAAUGAAUCA
rnacentral:snRNA from 1 species